AGCGGGAAGCCUGUUUCAAGAUGAGGUUUCAUAGGUUCCCUAUAGACGAUGGGGUUGAUAGGCCAGAUCUGGACGCACCGCAAUGUGCGAAGGUGACUGGUACUAAUACACCAACCAACAAACACCA
rnacentral:rRNA from 1 species